GCCUUCAGCUCUGCUUUGCAUAUUUCAGAAGCUAAGCAGGGUCAGGCUGGGUCACUUCUAUGGAAGGGUGUUCUCUGAAGAACACCCAGGUGCUGCAGGCA
rnacentral:rRNA from 1 species